UUAAAUUGAAGAGUUUGAUCAUGGCUCAGAUUGAACGCUGGCGGCAGGCCUAACACAUGCAAGUCGAACGGUAACAGGAAGAAGCUUGCUUCUUUGCUGACGAGUGGCGGACGGGUGAGUAAUGUCUGGGAAACUGCCUGAUGGAGGGGGAUAACUACUGGAAACGGUAGCUAAUACCGCAUAACGUCGCAAGACCAAAGAGGGGGACCUUCGGGCCUCUUGCCAUCGGAUGUGCCCAGAUGGGAUUAGCUAGUAGGUGGGGUAACGGCUCACCUAGGCGACGAUCCCUAGCUGGUCUGAGAGGAUGACCA
rnacentral:rRNA from 1 species